ACCACGGCGAUAGCUAAAUGGGUAAAGCGCCAGGUGAGCAGAUGGCGACUCUGAGAGCUAUUAUCUGCGCGGGUUCGAAUCCCAUCUGUGGUA